UACGGAGGGUGCAAGCGUUAUCCGGAUUCACUGGGCUUAAAGGGCGCGUAGGUGGGUUGGUAAGUCAGUGGUGAAAUCCCCGAGCUUAACUUGGGAACUGCCAUUGAUACUAUCAGUCUUGAAUACCGUGGAGGUCAGCGGAAUAUGUCAUGUAGCGGUGAAAUGCUUAGAUAUGACAUAGAACACCAAUUGCGAAGGCAGCUGGCUACACGAAUAUUGACACUCAGGCACGAAAGCGUGGGGAUCAAACAGG
rnacentral:rRNA from 1 species